rnacentral:rRNA from 1 species
ACGGUAACGCGGGCUUCGGCCUGGCGACGAGUGGCGGACGGGUGAGUAAUGCAUCGGAACGUAUCCAUUUGUGGGGGAUAGCCCGGCGAAAGCCGGAUUAAUACCGCAUAAGCUCUGAGGAGGAAAGCGGGGGACCUUCGGGCCUCGCGCUGAUGGAGCGGCUGAUGUCGGAUUAGCUUGUUGGUAGGGUAAAGGCCUACCAAGGCGACGAUCCGUAGCUGGUCUGAGAGGAUGAUCAGCCACACUGGAACUGAGACACGGUCCAGACUCCUACGGGAGGCAGCAGUGGGGAAUUUUGGACAAUGGGGGAAACCCUGAUCCAGCCAUGCCGCGUGCGGGAAGAAGGCCCUCGGGUUGUAAACCGCUUUCAGACGGAAGGAAAUAGCGCAAGUUAAUACCUUGUGUUGAUGACGGUACCGUCAGAAGAAGCACCGGCUAACUACGUGCCAGCAGCCGCGGUAAUACGUAGGGUGCGAGCGUUAAUCGGAAUUACUGGGCGUAAAGCGUGCGCAGGCGGUUCUUUAAGACAGGUGUGAAAUCCCCGGGCUUAACCUGGGAAUUGCGCUUGUGACUGGAGGACUAGAGUGUGGAAGAGGGGGAUGGAAUUCCUGGUGUAGCAGUGAAAUGCGUAGA